GACGGCCGCGUCCAUAGCUAGUUGUGAGUACGGCUCACAGCACGAUGGGUAGCCGACUGAGAGGGUGACCGGCCACACUGGGACUGAGACACGGCCCAGACUCUACGGGAGGCAGCAGUGGGGAAUAUUGCGCAAUGGACGGAAGUCUGACGCAGCGACGCCGCGUGAGCGAAGAAGGCUUUCGGGUCGUAAAGCUCUGUUCUUGGGGACGAAUAAGAUGACGGUACCCAAGGAGAAAGCCCCGGCUAACUACGUGCCAGCAGCCGCGGUAACACGUAGGGGGCGAGCGUUGUCCGGAAUUACUGGGCGUAAAGGGCGUGUAGGCGGCCGAGCAAGUCAAGUGUGAAAAGCCCCGGCUUAACCGAGGCAUUGCACAUGAAACUGUUUGGCUUGAGUGCAGGAGAGGGAAGUGGAAUUCCUAGUGUAGCGGUGAAAWRMRUAGAUAUUAGGAGGAACACCAGUGGCGAAGGCGACUUCCUGGACUGUAACUGACGCUGAGGCGCGAAAGCGUGGGUAGCAAACAGGAUUAGAUACCCUGGUAGUCCACGCCGUAAACGAUGGGUACUAGGUGUGGGUAGUUCACUCUAUCCGUGCCGCAGCAAACGCAAUAAGUACCCCGCCUGGGGAGUACGGCCGCAAGGUUGAAACUCAAAUGAAUUGACGG
rnacentral:rRNA from 1 species